rnacentral:tRNA from 1 species
GCAUUGUCAUUCAGAGGUAGAAUUCCUGCCUUCCAUGCAGGAGACCCAGGUUUGCUUCCUAACACAUGUA